AGAUUGGCGGCGCCGCCAUGCCGCAGGGUCCUCGCAAAGACGAGACGACCGGCCAAGCGCUGCGUCGCGGAGACUGUCGCGGCCCGGAAGCGCACCCGCCAGCUGCUCGGCACCGCGUCUGCGUCCCACUUGCUGGAGGCAGAGGCCAGGAACGCCAAGAUGAGGCCCCCCACGCAUGUCCAGCCGCCGUCCAAGAAGAAGACCCUGAAGAGCAGCGACUCUAACAGAGACAGGGAUAAGCAGCUCAAGCUCACAAUGCCAUGCAGCUGCCGCUGCAGCAGACACCUCGACACCAUUCGCCACGCCAUCAUCCCAGGAUAACAAGAAGGCUAUGAAACAGGAGGCGCAAGUUACAUGCGUAUGAGAGUAUGAAGGAAUCUCUCUUCAAAUCAGCUGCUGAUAAUGCCAAACUGAAUUCUGGACACAUGCCACCCAGCUCUGUUAGGAAGUAU